UGUAUUGCUCAGGGAGGGUUGGUUAAAUUGUUUUGUUCAGGAAGGGUUUGUUAAAUUGUAUUGCUCAGGGAGGGUUGGUUAAAUUGUAUUGCUCAGGGAGGUUUUGUUAAAUUGUUUUGUUCAGGGAGGGUUUGUUAAAUUGUUUUGUUCAGGAAGGGUUUGUUAAAUUGUAUUGCUCAGGAAGGGUUGGUUAAAUUGUAUUGCUCAGGGAGG
rnacentral:lncRNA from 1 species